CUUUUGGGUUUAUGUUAUGCUGUUUGGUAAAUUGUCUAGGAAGUGCUUUUGGUCCAAUUUGCUUCUCCUAGAAUCUGAAAUUGAGAAGCACCCAAGUACCAGCUUUGGGAAACUGCUUCUGUCAAAACACGAAGUGAACAGUAUUGAUUAAAUGAAAGUUUCUCCUUUUUCCUAUUAUGUCCUCAUCUUUUCUAUAGGGUUUCGUUUCUUCCUUCUUUCUUCCCAGAUCUCUCUUCCAGUUUUGAUCGAUCCAGAUCUCUCUUCCCAGCCUGGCAGCCUCCUCCUCAAAACCAUCGAUCGAUUUCGUUAAGAGCAUCUCUCUUCCCAGCCUCUUCCUCAAAACCAUCGAUCUCAAAACCAUCGGUUUCUAUAGAAAUCGAUCUCUCAAGAGGAUUCAAAACCCAAUUCGGUCUCUCCUCCGCCACACGCCCCAAACCCAAAGCAAACCAUCGAUCGAUCUCUCAAGAGGAUUCAAAACCCAACUCCGUCGCUCCUCCGCCACACGCCCCAAACCCAAAGCAUUCCCGGAUCGAUCUCUCUGUCUCUUCAAAACCCAACUCCUCAUGGAUGGUUUUUGGGACAUGAGUGCAAGAGAUCGAGAGUUUUGUCUUAAACCAAAAAGUCACGUCUGACCGAUAAAAAGACUUAACUCACUGUAAGUCCUCUUGGUCCUAGAAUCACCGAUACCACUGUGAGCCAAUUGAAAUUAUGGGAUGGAGCCAAUUGAAAAUGGGUUUGUUCCUAGAAUCCCAUAUGGAGACAAUCUGUGGGUUCUCUUAAAGCAUCAGCUAUAUUGUGAAGGUGCUGGGUGUAUUUAUCAUUCCGUUCAUAAAAACUGUUCAACAGGGUGCAGCAACCACAUGCUUUGUGGCACUCCAUCCACAAGUUAAGGGAGUAAGCGGCGAAUAUUUUGCAGACUGUAACAUUGCCAAACCGAGCAAUCAGGCCAAAGAUGUAGAUUUGGCUUCCAAACUUUGGGAUUUUAGCUUGAGCAUGACUAAUCUCAAGUAGUAUAUAUAUGUAUAAGGUCUUAAUGUUAACUUGCUGCACUGUUUCUCAUUGAAUCAAAUUGUAAAGAAACUAUUGCUUCUCCUCCCAUGUAAUCGUUGUGCGUAUCAUGAAUGAAAAUAAAACGUAUAUAUGUUUUG